rnacentral:lncRNA from 1 species
UUUCAUGUGCAGUAGCAGCAGGACCCCACCACCCCCAUGCAACAGAGGUUCAAAGAUGCUGCAUUCCUUGUGCUGUGCCACCAGCUCUGGCUGCCAGCGUGCCCUCUGAUGACUUUCUUUAAUCCUCUUUCUUGCAUAGAUGGGGACCAGAACCUAUGGAAACAACAACUGCAAGUGGAAAUCCAUGUGGAGAGAAGUACCUGCAUAUCCGUUCUAUUGAAAUGUUUCCAACAAAACCAAAAGGAUGUUGUGGCCAAAUGCCUGCAAAAAAUUGUUUCAAUAUGUGUGAUGUAAUCAGGUGUCUGUCAUCUGCCUCAUGAAACUGCAGUCUGCUGAGAUAUUCCUGCCUGCUGGUGGGAGAAGAAAGGGACUGAGUCAGUAAGAGGCAGCCACCUACACCUGUACUUAAGGGAGAAUCACUUAUAUCUUAGGAUAUCAACACCAGAUUUUCCAAACAAACAAACUGAUAGUUCACUUUCUUAUCUACACAUUUAGACGUGACAUUUCUCUGUAACUCACUUGCAGUGUUUUGUUUUGGGUAUUCAUUUCAUCACAUUGGUGUUAGAUUUAAGGGUUUUUUCAUAUGGAGGUACACAACAAAACUGUGAACUUGCAGAGAUUAUCAUGCACACAGUAUGAAACCACUGCAGAAGCAAGCAGAUAAAACAUCAUGAACAUUUCUGAACAAUACGCAGUUCAAUUCUCUGUCCUUAUGUUAACUGUGCCCUUAGCUGAAUGUCAGUCUUCCACUGGAGAAGCCAAAAAAAAUGUUACUGUUGUGCAUAUCUUUUUUGUGGUACUCUCUAGCUAGCUACAACCUCUGACUACCGAACCUACGAGUUAAGUACAUUAUGUUGUUGGAUGCAUCU